GAUAGCUGGUUUCUCAAUAAAAGAAUUUUAGUCCAACCUAAAGCAAUAAAUAUAUACACAAAUUGACCCUUCGCUUUAGAGCAAUUCAAAUAAGGUACAGCCUAUUUGAUACAGGACCCAACCUUAAUUAAUGGGUAAUUCUCGAUUCACAUUUAUAAGUAGGCCUAAGAGCAGCCAUCUUUUUAAAAGCGUCAUAGCUUAACCAUAUUAUCCUAAUUUCUUUAUCCCACGUGACCCCUUUAAUUAUACUGAGAACUUCUAUAAAAUUAUAGAACUUUUUAUGCUAAAACUAGUAACAAGAGGUAACCCCCUCUCUAUAAUGCAAAUAUAACCCAGCAAGAACCCACCACUGGCAACUAACAGACCUAAACAAAAGUAGCAACCCAUCUAGAAAACCCUACCCUUAUAACUGUUAACCUAAUACUAGAGCAUUUCAAGAAAGAUUAAAAGAAAAAGAAGGAAUUCGGCAAAUAUUAGCCCCGCCUGUUUACCAAAAACAUCGCCUCUUGCCACCAUAAGAGGUCUAGCCUGCCCAGUGACUUCUGUUCAACGGCCGCGGUAUCCUAACCGUGCGAAGGUAGCGUAAUCACUUGUUUCCUAAAUAGAGACCAGUAUGAAAGGCAUCACGAGGACUAAACUGUCUCCUUUCUCUAAUCAGUGAACCUAAUCUCCCCGUGAAGAAGCGCUUUCAUACUCAGGUAUUCUCCCCCGUGACACGCUGAUUUUAUGUUUUUGGUUGGGGUGACCGCGGAGAAAAAUUUAUCCUCCACAAUGAAGGGGAUUUUCCCUGAACAGUAAGCUACAACUUUAUGUACCAGUAAACUGACAUCCAUUGACCCAAUAUAUUGAUUAACGAACCAAGUUACCCUAGGGAUAACAGCGCAAUCCACUUUGAGAGCCCCUAUCGACAAGUGGGCUUACGACCUCGAUGUUGGAUCGGGGUAUCCUAGUGGUGCAGCCGCUACUAAAGGUUCGUUUGUUCAACGAUUAAAACCCCACGUGAUCUGAGUUCAGACCGGAGCAAUCCAGGUCAGUUUCUAUCUAUAAAAGAGCUUUCUUUAGUACGAAAGGACCAAAAUAGCAUGGCCAAUGUCUAUACAAGCCAUAGUUAAUUAUUUUUGAAUUUCAUCUCAAAAAAUUAUCAACCU
rnacentral:rRNA from 1 species